UGGAUCAGUGAUGAACAAUAAUUACUAUCUCUUGUUUGGGUCUGACAACCAUGAGAUCAACCCACAUGUAGCUCUGAGAACUA
rnacentral:snoRNA from 1 species